UGGGGGAUAUUGCACAAUGGGCGAAAGCCUGAUGCAGCGACGCCGCGUGGGGGAUGAAGGCCUUCGGGUUGUAAACUUCUUUUGCUCUGAACAAGGCAUGCCUUUGGGGUGUGUUGAGUGUAGGGGUUGAUUAGCGCCGGCUAACUACGUGCCAGUAGCCGCGGUAAUACGUAGGGCGCGAGCGUUGUCCGGAAUUAUUGGGCGUAAAGGGCUUGUAGGUGGCUGGUUGCGUCUGUCGUGAAAGCUCAUGGCUUAACUGUGGGUUUGCGGUGGGUACGGGCUGGCUUGAGUGCAGUAGGGGAGGCUGGAAUUCCUGGUGUAGCGGUGGAAUGCGCAGAUAUCAGGAGGAAUACCGGUGGCGAAGGCGGGUCUCUGGGCUGUUACUGACGCUGAGGAGCGAAAGCGUGGGGAGCGAACAGG
rnacentral:rRNA from 1 species